rnacentral:rRNA from 1 species
GCUUGACUGUAUCUUGGAAUUGGGUUCGGGCUUUUCUUGCGCAGACUAGGUGGGAGGCUAUGAAGAUUUUUCUUCUGGGAAAGUUGGAGCCAACAGUGAGAGACCACUCUGGAAAGGCUAGAAUCCUAAUGGUGAUCCUUGAAUCAGGAUCACUUGACAGUUUCAGGUGGGGCAGUUUUCUGGGGCGGAAGCCUCAUAAAAGGUAACUGAGGCGCGCAAAGGUCCCCUCAGUCUGGACGGAAAAUCAGACAUUGAGUGUAAAGGCAAAAGGGGGCUUGACUGCAAGACCCACAAGUCGAGCAAGGGCGAAAGCUGGCCUUAGUGAUCCGACGGUGCCGUGUGGAAGGGCCGUCGCUCAACGAAUAAAAGUUA